rnacentral:lncRNA from 1 species
GUCGGCAAAUAAACAUCAUUAUCAAACUGAAAGGUCAUUAACGGAUUAUAUAUUAGCCAUUGAUUCAAGCUCAAAAGAACAUGUAUAUAGUUCCCAAGAAGAUCAACUUAUAGUGGCAUAACUUUAUGACCGAAUGAAUACAGUGCAGCAAGAAUGAGAGGUAUAUAGUUCCCAAGAAGAUCAACUUAUAGUGGCAUAACUUUAUGACUGAAUGAAUGCAGUACAGCAAUAAAACUUGAAAUUUUGAAUCAACAGGAUUUUACAUGAUUAAAGAUAUGUAACUCAAGAAUCAUUUAUACGGGAUCAAACUGUACCCGCCGCUUUAGCUUCUCCUCUUUCAAACUUCUCUAAUACAUGUUAAUACUGUAUCACCGCGAUUUUGCAUGAUGCGGUAAGUUUUUAUUUAAUUGAGAAUGUGGAUUGGUAAUAUUCAGAUGAGGGGCGUGUGGGAAUUACAAGUUACCCUAUAGCCGUUAAUCCCCCACACCCGUCCCCAUCCCUUUGACAAUAUUGGCAAACCACCCUCUCUUCCUUCUGCCUAGGCAAAUCCGUGCAGGCCGCCCCUCCAGUAACAUGUUUCAAUGCUUUGAAAAAGUUACAGCAGCAUUUAACCAAAGCAGGUAAAGAGAACAUCCACGUGUUGUUGAAGUUUCUUCUUAGCUAGUGUAGGCUACUCUAGCUUUUGUGCAUCUAUUAAGCAUCAACUUUGAUGUUGUUCCAAUAUCUACUUUGAAUUUCUGUUUAAGAUGAAUAAAAAAUGGAUCUUAUGACUCAGAAUAUUCUAUCCCAGCUUCCACCAAUACUCUUACCAUGAUCGCUCCCCUUUCCGAUCCCAGCCAUAACUCCUCCACUCAUUUUCCCCAUCAGCUUUGGCUUCCCUAGGCUCUUAGUCCCUUCCAACCCAGUCCGUCUUGCCCUCUCCUAAAACAACUCAGUUUCUCCAUUGGUCUUCUCGUCUUUCUUUUCUUCCCUUUGGCAAAUGUACUUUCCUUUUAGAUUUAUAUGUAGG